rnacentral:rRNA from 1 species
UACGGAGGGUGCAAGCGUUAUCCGGAUUCACUGGGUUUAAAGGGUGCGUAGGCGGGCAGGUAAGUCAGUGGUGAAAUCCCCGAGCUCAACUUGGGAACUGCCAUUGAUACUAUCUUUCUUGAAUACCUUGGAGGUGAGCGGAAUAUGUCAUGUAGCGGUGAAAUGCUUAGAUAUGACAUAGAACACCAAUUGCGAAGGCAGCUCACUACACGGUCAUUGACACUGAGGCACGAAAGCGUGGGGAUCAAACAGG